rnacentral:rRNA from 1 species
UACGUAGGCAGCGAGCGUUGUUCGGAAUUACUGGGCGUAAAGAGUGUGUAGGCGGUGCUCUAAGUUCGGUGUGAAAUCUCCUGGCUCAACUGGGAGGGUGCGCCGGAAACUGGAGUGCUUGAGCGUGGGAGAGGAAAGCGGAAUUCCUGGUAUAGCGGUGAAAUGCGUAGAUAUCAGGAGGAACACCUGUGGUGUAGACGGCUUUCUGGACCAUAGCUGACGCUGAGACACGAAAGCGUGGGUAGCAAACAGG